rnacentral:lncRNA from 1 species
GGUCUUUUUUUUUUUCCUCUUGGAGCACUGAGUUUCAAAGUUCCUUGGUGAGAACGGACUCCUUUCAACUUUGCAGGGGAUUUAAUGACUACACCUGAGGACCGUUCCUGUGUUUACCUUUCUCCCACAUUGCAAGCCAUGAUUCUUCCUCUUCCCACUUUGGAGCCUCUCUAUGCAUUCUCCUUGUGUUAACCCAAAAGGACACAAAGGUCCCUCAAGACAGAGCUCCCAUAUUGUCAAGUGUAUGGACUCAGCUAAGGUGAAUUGUUCCGCAGCUCAACCCCUGAGCUCCAGCCUAACGGGUUUUGUGUUUUCGACUGCCCCACUUUCACGUGUGCAUCUCCCAAUAGACUUCCUUCAGUGAUUUCUCUCAUGCAGCCCCUCGAGGCUCUUGUGCUGGUGACAGUGCAGGCUGGCUAUACCAUGUUCUGAGCUGGCCCCCAUCCCUGCAGAUUCAGGAAAUUUAUUAAAGUAAUUCAAAAAACUUAAACUAGAAUCUGCCAAAGCUGGGCUGUCUCUAAGCAACUUCGUCGUUCUAAAGCUCACAUCUUCUGACAAAAGCCACCUUCAGCAUGCCUGAGAAUCAUUUGAGGGUAAUGCCAGCUAGGUUUGAACUUUAAAAUUUUUACACAUCUGUCAAGGGCCUAUAUUUGAUAAACAAUCUUAAAUAAUAAUGUGCUUAUUGGUGACAUGAGAACACUGGGUCCUGGCCUAAGGCUUAAUGGUCCUGCAAGUGUCAGCUUUAGAUUGUAAGGUAAAAGUAGUGUAGAUUCCUGGCUCCUGUAAGGAAGUGCACAGUUAUUCCCUCAUCCUUGGCAAAGCGUAGGUUUGGCUCUACUCUAUCUGCACCACCACCACCACCGCCUCCCCUGUCGCUCUGUCAGCCUGCAGGCACUCACAAAACACCCAGCUGAGCUUGACCAAUGGCUAUGCAGCACAGCCACUCUAAAUGGCCCGACCUACAAGUAGUUUUCAACUUCGGGGUGACAAUUCAUGGCCGAAUAAAAGAUAGUCUUUUUGAGGUUGAGCCCACAGGACAUACUUAAAGUUCAGCUCUUGAGAAGGAACACCUAAGGAUGGAAAAGAAAAAUAACCCACUGCUAAGCCUAUUUACCCAAAGCAAUGCCUCACUAUGAAUGAGGGCAAAGGUUAAAACAAUGCAAUCCACUCCGUUGGAUCUCUUAGCCCUCUCUCUUCUACCCCAAGACCUGUGGUGAUUGUACUAGCGUUUCGUGAUAGCCAAAGCCCCAGAGCACAAGUUGCUUUCAGUAUAAAUGCUGGAAAGUAUCUCUUAUUACUUGAGGGACUAUAAAGGAUUUAGGCUUCCACAUGUAAAAUGAUCGUGGCCUCUUUUCGAGGCUUUAUACGCUGACCUUCUGGGGUAUACCUUUCACCGGUCAGUUGGCCCACCGAAGUAAUUAAAUUAAAGAGAGCGUCGGAGCCCAUGCUCUCAGCUGAGUUUUGGCGGAGUUUUAUGAAGAGGGCUUGAGUGACGAAGAUAAAGUUUUCUGUGCCAGAUUUCAUAUGUUGUCCUUGUCUCACCACUGCACUCCAGCCCUGAUGCUAGCCUCUGAAGGGACAAUGUUUCUAGUACCCUGAUGCCAUUGUUCCUCCAGCUUCUGAUGACAGUCCUUUCUUCCUGGAACUCUGCAGUAGUCUCACAUUUGCUUUCUAGGUCAAGACAGACCCCCUAUUGUCUGUAAGGAGAUCUCAGGGCUGGCUUGCAGCAGCAGCUAGUGUUUCUGCUUUCCAUUUUACUUCUGCUCUGCUCUGCUCUGCUCUGCUCUGCUCUGCUCUGCUCUGCUCUGCUCUGCUCUGCUCUGCUCUGCCCUGUGUGGAAACCAUGACAGCCUCUUCCAUACACCUCUGCUUCUAAAGCUUCGUAAGCUCUCUAAUGCCUGUGCGGCUGUACCUAUGGAUUAAAUGGCAGGCAAGACGUCUCAAUGGUAUUUUAUUCGUUCUAUUCCAGGUAAACACAUUUAACCAGAUUGCACUGCUAUUGAAGUUAAACAGAAAAUCCCCCCAGAUAGAAAGACUGCGGCUUGGUGCAGUAGUUGGUUCUGACAGCCUCGUGUAUGCAGUCACUGUUGUCAGUAUUACACUUGCCACACUUGCAGCUUAUGGCGACAGGGAAGGAGAAAUAAGGAGUAACAUGGUGCGGGCAUCCUGGUAUUUCCACCGUUCUGUAGAUGAAGUCUCUGUAUGUACAGACAUCCUGAGAGAGUGCAUAUUUGGGAAGAAACAGUUUGCCAUUGAUAUCCUGUGGAAAGAAAAGAGAUCUUAACAUGAUAAACUCCACACAACUUUAGAUAGUGUAAUAGAAAGACCACAACUUACUGAUAUCCCUUUGUAUCAGUGAUGAUCAAUAAAGGACUCCUGAGCUCUGUUACCCACACAUCUACAAUUAACCCAUCAGAUACAAAAAACAAAACAAAACAAAAAAAAAAAAACAAAAGCCACUUUGUUCUCAUCUGCCUUUGAUGAGGACAAACUCUUCAGAGUAGACUGUUACAAAUGCACCUGUACUUUCCUUUCUGAGUAGAGUCACACCAUUAUAAUUCUGAAAACAGUGUUUGGCUUCCCAAAGAGGACAUUAUGAUUUAUCCCCACUUCCUUUCUAAAUAUUAACAGACAACUUUAGGCCUAUAUAAUUUACAGCUAAAAGAAAUGCAUUGAACAACAUACCCGUGUCAUACAAUACCCAGCACAGAUGGUGGUGUUGAUGGUCAGGCAGUAGGCACACUCUCUCCUAUCCACGUACAUUGUAUACUCAGUGGGAAUACAAAAGGAUGCUGCUUGCCCACAAGCAAGAGCAAAAAGCACGGAGAGGAGGACGGCAGCACUCAUGCUGAAUCAGAGAGAAACAUCAAAGAGCUCAGUACAGUGUCCUCUCCACGCUCAGAGGCAUGUCUGUGCAUAUGUAAACACACAGCCAAUAACAAGAACAGGUAAAAUAUACUGACUGGUUACUUAUCCCUGGGCCCUGCGUAAGGUGCUUUUGCAUAUCCAGUCCUCUCAAACCUCCUCAUAUACGAUCAGAUGCAGCUACGACCGUGUACACCCAUAAUACAGGAGCUCACAUCUUAGAAGUCUGCCUACACAUGCCAUUGGGCUCCCCUGGGAAGUGACAGGCGAAUCUGCAACAUCACUCAGAAAACUGACAGCUUUCUGCUAACUAAGUGUGAAAUAAUUCAUCCAACAGAGCUAUAAUAAAAGGACUUGUCUUUAUAAGAAGUAAAUUAAUUAGUAUUCUUUAGGAAGGACUUUCCCAGAAAUCAAAGUUCCUAAAAAUUUUGGUUCAAUCAAUAACUCAGUUGGUUCAUAUAAUUAAAGAGGGAAAGAAACCAAAAAAAUCAUAAGCAAACUUUGCUACCACCCAGCAAAUAUGAUUUUCUCUAUAACUCUACCUGUUGAUUGUCAAGGAGGCUGAAAACUUAAGUUAAAAUUGUGACUGGUGUGAACUAAUAACACGAGCUACACGGUCUUUUCUGAAUCCUUAGGAUAUUCUGUUAGAGUUUUUAAAUUUUCACAUUGAAACAAAAGAUCAUUUUAUACAGAAGUUGUAUGGCAUUCAUUAUUUAAAAACAUAGAGAGAGCUGGGAAAAUUAGUGUGACACAUUUAGAGUAAUCCAGGCAAGAAUUCAGCUCCUUCGUGGGUUGUUCGAUUCAUUAGCAGCGGGCUGUAUGGGAGGCAGCAGAGGGCCCGCUGAGCAGUCCCGGCAGCUCAGAGAGCCUGUCUGAUACAGAAGCUGUUCCGUAUCAGUUAAGCAUUGUAAUGAUCUGGGGAUGUUAUGACUUAUUUUGGUGAUAGAGGGUAAUCAAAUUUCAGACUUUUAGAUGUAGGCUGAUCACCAUUAAGAUGAAGGAGACUUUUGACUCCCUUUUACUAAUAUUGUUCAACUAGCUAGGUAUGUUUGGAUUGUUUUUCUUCUCAACUAUCAUUGUUAGUAAAUAUAUAAAUGUAUAACAUAUAUAUAUAUAUAUAUAUAUAUCCACCACUGAAGCAAUAUUGAUAUCUAUAAGCAUAUGGCUGUUUGUUUAUUUUAUUAAAUGAUCACUAUUCGCUGGCUGGCAAGAAGGCUCAGAAGUAAAAGCACUUGCAGCUCUGCCUGAUAGCCUGAGUUCAAUUCCUGGACAUACGUGACAGACGGAGAGAACAGACUCCUCCCUGGAAGUCGUCCUCUGACCUCUUCAUGCAUGCUACAGUGCUCUCCCCAAAUAAAUGGGGGAAAAAAGCAUUUUAUUUAAUUAUCAAAGAAGUAUCAAGGUUCAAUCUGCCGGUUGUGUCAGCAACAGUUUUAAGCUGCGUGCUUUAAAUUCUCUACUUACUGAAGCCUUGUGCAGUCUGUCUCAGGUAACCAGAAUUUUGUUUCCAAUAAAUAUAUAAACAAAAAUU